rnacentral:tRNA from 1 species
GCCAGUGUGGCAUAGUGGUUUGAGUGUUGGACUACGACUCUGGAGACCAGGGCUUGAUUCCCAGCUUGGCCA